rnacentral:rRNA from 1 species
UACGGAGGUGGCAAGCGUUGCUCGGAAUCACUGGGCGUAAAGGGCGCGUAGGCGGGGAGGUAAGUCGGGUGUGAAAUCCCUCGGCCCAACCGAGGAACUGCGCCCGAGACUGCUUCUCUUGAGUCCCGGAGAGGAAGAUGGAAUUCCCGGUGUAGCGGUGAAAUGUGUAGAGAUCGGGAGGAACACCUGUGGCGAAGGCGGCCAACUGGCCCGACCCUGACGCUGAGGCGCGAAGGCGUGGGGAGCGAACGGG